rnacentral:rRNA from 1 species
UGGGGAAUAUUGGACAAUGGGCGAAAGCCUGAUCCAGCCAUGCCGCGUGUGUGAAGAAGGUCUUCGGAUUGUAAAGCACUUUAAGUUGGGAGGAAGGGCAUUAACCUAAUACGUUAGUGUUUUGACGUUACCGACAGAAUAAGCACCGGCUAACUCUCUGCCAGCAGCCGCGGUAAUACAGAGGGUGCAAGCGUUAAUCGGAAUUACUGGGCGUAAAGCGCGCGUAGGUGGUUUGUUAAGUUGGAUGUGAAAUCCCCGGGCUCAACCUGGGAACUGCAUUCAAAACUGACUGACUAGAGUAUGGUAGAGGGUGGUGGAAUUUCCUGUGUAGCGGUGAAAUGCGUAGAUAUAGGAAGGAACACCAGUGGCGAAGGCGACCACCUGGACUAAUACUGACACUGAGGUGCGAAAGCGUGGGGAGCAAACA